GGCAGGUGAUGCUGUUCUCUCACGAUGGUCUGCCGAGCCCGGGCCAAGGGGCUCUGACGACAGUGCCAACGGCUUUACUGAUGCCAAGCC
rnacentral:snoRNA from 1 species